rnacentral:rRNA from 1 species
CCUACGGGUGGCAGCAGUGAGGAAUAUUGGUCAAUGGGCGGAAGCCUGAACCAGCCAAGUAGCGUGCGGGAUGAAGGCCCUACGGGUCGUAAACCGCUUUUGCACGGGGAUAACACCCUCCACUUGUGGAGGUCUGCAGGUACCGUGCGAUUAAGGGCCGGCUAAUUCCGUGCCAGCAGCCGCGGUAAUACGGAAGGCCCGAGCGUUAUCCGGAUUCAUUGGGGUUAAAGGGUGCGUAGGCUGGCGAUCAAGUCAGCGGUAAAAUCGCGCGGCUCAACCGCGCACGGCAGUUGAAACUGGACGCCUUGAGUGCACAACAGGCAGGCGGAAUUCGUGGUGUAGCGGUGAAAUGCAUAGAUAGCACGAGGAAGCCCGAGUGCGAAGGCAGCCUGCCGGGGUGCGACUGACGCUGAGGCUCGAAGGUGCGGGUAUCAAACAGGAUUAGAUACCCUAGUAGUC